rnacentral:rRNA from 1 species
GACGAACGCUGGCGGCGUGCCUAAUACAUGCAAGUAGAACGCUGAAGGAGGAGCUUGCUUCUCUGGAUGAGUUGCGAACGGGUGAGUAACGCGUAGGUAACCUGCCUGGUAGCGGGGGAUAACUAUUGGAAACGAUAGCUAAUACCGCAUAAGAGUAGAUGUUGCAUGACAUUUGCUUAAAAGGUGCAAUUGCAUCACUACCAGAUGGACCUGCGUUGUAUUAGCUAGUUGGUGAGGUAACGGCUCACCAAGGCGACGAUACAUAGCCGACCUGAGAGGGUGAGCGGCCACACUGGGACUGAGACACGGCCCAGACUCCUACGGGAGGCAGCAGUAGGGAAUCUUCGGCAAUGGACGGAAGUCUGACCGAGCAACGCCGCGUGAGUGAAGAAGGUUUUCGGAUCGUAAAGCUCUGUUGUAAGAGAAGAACGAGUGUGAGAGUGGAAAGUUCACACUGUGACGGUAUCUUACCAGAAAGGGACGGCUAACUACGUG